GAAUCUUGCGCAAUGGGCGAAAGCCUGACGUAGCAACGCCGCGUGCGGGACGAAGGCCUUCGGGUUGUAAACCGCUUUCAGCGGGGACGAACAUGACGGUACCUGCAGAAGAAGCCCCGGCCAACUACGUGCCAGCAGCCGCGGUAAUACGUAGGGGGCGAGCGUUGUCCGGAUUUAUUGGGCGUAAAGAGCUCGUAGGCGGUUUGGCAAGUCGGGUGUGAAAACUCCGGGCUCAACUCGGAGACGCCACUCGAUACUGCCACGACUCGAGUCCGGUAGGGGAGUGCGGAAUUCCUGGUGUAGCGGUGAAGUGCGCAGAUAUCAGGAGGAACACCGGUGGCGAAGGCGGCACUCUGGGCCGGUACUGACGCUGAGGAGCGAAAGCGUGGGGAGCGAACAGG
rnacentral:rRNA from 1 species